GAGAAGAUACAGUAGCUGGACUAAACAGCAGCUUCUGUGGGAAAUGGAGACCCUUCCCCUGGGGUGCUUCUCCACUUGGCCAGAACCCAGGCUCUCUUCUCCAUGGUCCUUCAGGAGUUAAACCCAGUCUGCUGCUUUCCUGUCCAGUGAGCCAGGCCCACCCACUUGAGAAAGAAACCAACAAUGAGCUUUCCCGGAUGAAGUGAGCAAGAGAGGAGGCGCUUGGAAAAUUUGACUGAAGUAAGAAGAGGUAGGGAAUCCUUGAGAGAAGACCUGCAAGUAUUACAGACCCAGAAAUAGACCCAGCUGCCGGCAUCCCGGGCUUCUGUAGCUUCAGGACUGCGGACAGAGCUUCGUGGGCCUGAGUCUCUUUUCCUCUAGCAACAGCACCGCGGAGAGCAAUCCUGCUGGGGUCAGAGCCUCCGCCCAGCCUCUGCCUGGAAAUGGCUCUUUGGGGCAGUUGGAAUGCAGGCCCGUGAGAGGCUGAAUAGAUCAAUUAUUUUUCAGAACAUGAUUUUGAUCCUGAUGUUACUUCUCAGGAUCACUGAGUGGAAAGGGCUCGCGGAGAAAAUGGCAUUUUUUAUCACCCUGGCAAAAUGCUCCCGCACUGAUGAGAUGAGGCGCCCAGCGAGCGCGCGCGUGCACAUGUGAUACAUAACUAACCAGAAGCAUAAUCUUCUAAAUUGAAAGCCAUAAUGUUUGCUGUUGGAGCUAAAUAUUAACAGGGCGUUGUCUCCCCCAACGACCCUCGGGAGACAGCUGGCUUAGCGGGAGGCUGGUGUCAUAUUCAAGCAACUUGAUUAAAUUCCUUUCUGCCAUCAGAAUUAAGAAAUGAAUAGUUUUAUGAGAGUCAUGCCACAGAGGACAGGAAAAUGAAAUGUUCAGGAAAGAGAGCAGGCGGGUUGCCUGCUCUGUGUUCCUGGAGGGAGUGCUGUCAAUCUACCUAGAAGGGGUGGGCUCAGUAUUGUGUAUGGUAGGCAGUCUUGACUCCUCUCUGGUCAUAAGAUGUGUAGAGCCUCCUUGGGAGAGCUCUCAGUUGUUCACAGGAGAGGCAGAAAAAUGUGUGGCUGACAAUCUCCGGAUCUAGAAUAACUGUAUUCAAAUCCCAUUGUUAUUCCUCCAUAGCUGUGUGGUCUUAGGCAAAUUAUCUAACCUUUCUGUGCCAAAGCUUUUCUAGUUAUAAUAAAAUGAAUUUA